GUUGGGAAUGGAGACCAUCAAAGGACUGUUCUGAUGGCUACAUGUGCAAAAUACACUUUCAAAUUAAGAAUGGGUCUGUGAUGUCACAUCUAGGAGCAUCUACCCAUGGACAGACAUGUCUUCCCAUGGAGAUGGGAGACCUUUAACUCUGAAGGACAUAUGGGAAGGAGUUCAUGAGUGCUAUAAGAUGCGACUGCUACAGGGACCAUGGGACACUAUUACGCAACAGGAACAUCCAAUACUUGGGCAACCCUUUUUUGUACUUCAUCCCUGCAAGACGAAUGAAUUCAUGACUCCUGUAUUAAAGAAUUCUCAGAAAAUCAAUAAGAAUGUCAACUAUAUCACAUCAUGGCUGAGCAUUGUAGGGCCAGUUGUUGGGCUGAAUCUACCUCUGAGUUAUGCCAAAGCAACGUCUCAGGAUGAACGAAAUGUCCCUUAACAAGAUUCUUCUAUUGAGUUUAGGAAUUGCGGCACGAAGAAUGCCAAGAGUUUACCUGGCCAGCCCUGGCUUUAAUAGGACUGAUACCAUGGAAUAUUUCAUCUCACCAAGAUGUGACAUGGAUUAUUUUUCCCUUGGACACAAAUGUCUACAGCAACUGGUGUUUGAUAGGCUGAAUGUUUAGAAGAAACACUUCAAAGGGAUACAUCAUGGCCAGGCAUGGUGGCUCACACCUGUAAUCCAAGCACUUUGGGAGGCCAAGGUGGGAGCAUCACUUGAUCCUGGGAGUUCGAGACCAGCCUGGGCAACAUGGUGAAACCCUGUCGGUACAAAAAAAUACAAAAAUUUGCCUGUUUAUGGUGGUGUGUUCCUGUAGUCCCAGCUCCCCAGGAGGCUGAGGUGGGAGGUUGGCUUUAACCCAGGAGGCAGAGGUUGCAGUGAGCUGAGACUGUGCCACUGCAGUCCAGCCUGGGUGACAGAGCCAGACACUGUCUCGGG
rnacentral:lncRNA from 10 species